rnacentral:rRNA from 1 species
AUUGAACGCUGGCGGCAUGCUUUACACAUGCAAGUCGAACGGUAACAGGCCGCAAGGUGCUGACGAGUGGCGAACGGGUGAGUAAUGCAUCGGAACGUGCCCAGUCGUGGGGGAUAACGCAGCGAAAGUUGCGCUAAUACCGCAUACGAUCUAUGGAUGAAAGCGGGGGACCGUAAGGCCUCGCGCGAUUGGAGCGGCCGAUGUCGGAUUAGGUAGUUGGUGGGGUAAAGGCUCACCAAGCCGACGAUCUGUAGCGGGUCUGAGAGGACGACCAGCCACACUGGGACUGAGACACGGCCCAGACUCAUACGGGAGGCAGCAGUGGGGAAUUUUGGACAAUGGGCGCAAGCCUGAUCCAGCAAUGCCGCGUGCAGGAAGAAGGCCUUCGGGUUGUAAACUGCUUUUGUACGGAACGAAACGGUCCUGGUUAAUACCCGGGGCUAAUGACGGUACCGUAAGAAUAAGCACCGGCUAACUACGUGCCAGCCGCCGCAGUAA